rnacentral:misc_RNA from 1 species
GAAAAAUGUUUAUUUGAUUCACAACUAAUUGAAAUAAAUAAUAAGAAACAGAAUUAUACAUAAAUGUUACACAAUUAAUGCAUAACUUCAACACACAUCCUUCCAGUAAUUUCAAUGCGAAUUACAUUGGGAACAUAUAUAAUCCGUUACAUUCACAAGAAUUAAUUAUCCUCAAUUUCAACCAAUAUAUAUAUAUAUAAACCAUCAAUUCUUGAGAUUAAGCACUUGAUAGGCGCAGAUAUGGCUUCCAGACAUUCAAUGAGAUCCUGUGAGAGGCCUUGCUGCAGGCAGUCGACCACUAGAGUGAAGAGAUAUUGGAGGAGUUUCUUCAGCAAAAUACGUGCAAGUACCAUCGAGGACAAGAAGCUGGUAAAGCACAUGCAUGAGUUAUUUAAUUCAGAUGUAUGAAAAAUGUUACUGACUUGGGUUGUCACAAGUGAACUGUCUUGUAUAUAUUUUUGUUGUUCUUGCUUUUUCUGGUUUUGAAAUCUUCAAAACAAUGCUCAUCUACUAAAAUUUAGCUAAUUCUGAAUACUUGCAGAAACUACCGGUGAAGUUUGUGAGGAAAUAUGGGGAUGAGCUUUCUGAUGUAGCUAAGCUCAUUGCACCUAAUGGCCUUAUUUGGGAAGUGGGUUUAACUAAAGGGGCGAUGAUCAUUUGGUUUGAUGAUGGCUGGCAUGAAUUUGUAGAAUAUUAUUCCAUCUGUAAUGGAUGGAUUUUAAUAUUCAACUAUAUGGGUAUGUCGAGUUUCAAUGUUUCUAUAUUCGAUGAGAGUGUUUUUGAGAUUGGAUAUCCACGUUAUCAACCAAGAAGUAAGGAAGAACCUAGGAAACAGCCACCAUUCAAUGAGGAUGAAAUGAAACAUAAUGAUUUUGAUGGGAUUUUGGGUUCUAAUCCACAUCCAAGUUCAAGCAAAGGGGCAAGUUCCAAGAAAAGGGACUAUGCUACAACACAGCAGAAUCUGGCUAGACCUGUUUUUGGUUCUGGCAAUCUAGGAAUUAACAAGAGUUUCAAGGAUGCUGCUUCUGCAGAGAAACGGAAGUUUCAGCAAGAAUACCAGAAAAAGGGCGAAAAUUGUGAGAUGGAAGACUUGCCCAAUGCAAAUGACUCGAACCUAGGUAAUCAUGUGAAUUCUUUCUUAUUGUGGUGUUAUUAUGAAUCUACACUCUAAACAAUAAUCCAUUACUUUUAAAGAUGGAAUUGACUCGUCACCAGGAUGUGAAGAAUUUAACAUCUUUACAAGUAAACAAUUUUAUGCAACAUUAUCAAAAAUAUCACCAGAAAGCAAGAAAGCGGUGGAUGCAGCAAUGGAGUGCAAGCCAAAAAAUCCAGCUUUCCUGGUUAUCUUGAGGCAACAUUUUGUAGGCGACAAUGCAAUGGUAUUACCUGGUUAAUUUCUUGGAGUUUCUCUCUUCCAGCGUGCUUAUUAUCAAUUUUCUUCCUGAAUUUUGCAGCAUGUGCCAUCAGCAUUUGCUAAGAGUUUUCUGCGUAAUAUUUCUGAGAUGAUCAAAGUUCAGGAUUCUAAUGGAGGAGAGUGGAUAAUCCAUACCGAUUGCUACUGGAGAGGUGGAUAUUUGAGUUUAAGAGGGGGCUGGGCUGAAUUUUUCAGUGACAAUGAAUUGGUGGUUGGAGAUGUAUGUCUAUUUGAGCUGAUUCGGAAGAAGAAUGUUGCCCUGAAAGUUUCAGUAUUUCAUGCUUUUAUGGAUUAAAUUUGUCUGCUUAAUAAGAAUAUGCGCAGUGGUUAUGUUCUUUUUGGUUCUGUUUGCUGAUAUGGAAUUGGAUCGUAGAUUUUGGUUACUCAAAAAGAUUGCUAAUCUGGGCCCUGACGUUUAAGUUUGCAGCAAUUGCUUUUGAGUGGAAACUACUUCUUUUGUGGGCUGGAUAUUUAACUUAUAGGUGCCUUGUAUUUCUUGCUUGGUAAUUUUCAUGUGAAUGCAGUUCUUGUUUUCACUCCCAUAUUCCAGUUGUUCAAUGAUAACAACUAAUAU